UCGUGGAUCAACAAUUCCUCUAUGCUGGUGAAGUGAUUUUCCGAUUCCGUGAAUAUCAACUCAAGAAAUCUCACGACCUGAAAUUACAUGCCGGAUUGUUAUUGCGAACAAUUUUUACCUGCGGAUACAUUUCGAUGUCUGAUAGCUGGACGGCAGAUGGUCUGAAGGUGCAUAAUUCGUAGCCGGCGCACAUUUCGAAUAGCAUAUGCCCUGGUAAUGUAAAAAUAAGUUUAUUGUCGUCGAUAAAGUCAUCUGUUAUAAAAUUAAAUUCGAAAAUAACAUGCGUUUUAUUGAAGAA